GAUGAACGCUAGCGGGAGGCCUAACACAUGCAAGCCGAGCGGUAUUGUUUCUUCGGAAAUGAGAGAGCGGCGUACGGGUGCGUAACACGUGUGCAACCUGCUUUUAUCUGGGGGAUAGCCUUUCGAAAGGAAGAUUAAUACUCCAUAAUAUAUUGAACGGCAUCGUUUAAUAUUGAAAGCUCCGGCGGAUAGAGAUGGGCACGCGCAAGAUUAGCUAGUUGGUGAGGUAACGGCUCACCAAGGCGAUGAUCUUUAGGGGGCCUGAGAGGGUGAUCCCCCACACUGGUACUGAGACACGGACCAGACUCCUACGGGAGGCAGCAGUGAGGAAUAUUGGUCAAUGGGUGCAAGCCUGAACCAGCCAUCCCGCGUGAAGGACGACUGCCCUAUGGGUUGUAAACUUCUUUUGUAUAGGGAUAAACCUACCCUCGAGAGGGUAGCUGAAGGUACUAUACGAAUAAGCACCGGCUAACUCCGUG
rnacentral:rRNA from 1 species